GGCCUGUUUAUAUCGAAUCUGGCUGGCCCACUAAGUGAGACAGCCCGGUAAGUGAGAUCUCACUGUCUAGUUAUUUUUAUAGUACAAAUUAUCAUUUCUAUGGACAAGCAGGCAGGUCCGGUUGCCAAGACCAGGAUGGAAAUUUCUCCACAUAAACAAUCAUAAGCAGGCUAGCCCGGUUGCCGGGAUGAAAGUUCAAAGAUACUGCCGCAAGCUAUUUUUAACAACUGUCAAAAUAAUGUCAAUGAAAACAACAAAAUUGUCCCGGUAAGCGGAAUGAAAUUUUCUCAAAUAAACACAAGAGAAAUCAUCCUGCUUACCUAUACCUUACCGGGCUGUCUUGCUAAGCGGGCCAGCCCGGCUUCCAUACAAACAGGCCCUAACAGUCUCUGUCAGGCAAUUGCAAUGUUCUAAUGUCCAAACUCUAAAGUAUUAUAAACAAGUAGUAAGUCUGUAGUAAGUUGCUAGUAAGUCAUAUCAACAUGUGAUCUUGACAAUAUACAGUGUAUAAACUAAAGUAAUUCAGCUUCUACACAUGAAGCGACUUUAAACACUAUCCUUA